rnacentral:rRNA from 1 species
GAUGAACGCUGGCGGCGUGCCUAAUACAUGCAAGUCGAGCGAACAGACCUGCUUUUUGUUCCUCUGUGGUUGUCCGCGGACGGGUGAGUAACACGUAGCUAGCCUACCUAUAGGACUGGGAUAACUUCUAGGACCCGGAGCUAAUGCCUGAUUAUCUAUUGAACCGCAUGGUUCUAUAGUUAAAGGCGGUCUUUCUUUUACUUGUUGGUGAUGCCGCGCCGGAUUAGCUACUUGGUGAGGUGAUGGUUUACCAACACGACGAUGGGGAGCGGUCCUGGGAGUGUGAUCGGCCACACUGGCACUGAGACUGGGUCAAGACUCAUACGGGUGGCAGAAGUAGGGAAGGUUACGCAAUGGGCGAAAGCCUGACGGAGCAGCGGCGAGUGAGUGUGGAAGGUCUUCGGAUCGUAAAUCUCUGCUACUAGGGAAGAACAAAUGGGUAAGUAACUAGGAACGUCUUGACGGUACCUAAAGAGAAAGCCCCGGCUAACUACGUG